rnacentral:rRNA from 1 species
AGAGGUUUUCCGACCCUUAGUGCUGCAGUUAACGCAUUAAACACUCCGCCUGGGGAGUACGGUCGGAAGAGUGAAACUCAAAGGAAAUUGACGGGGGCCCGCACAAGCGGUGGAGCAUGUGAUUUAAUUUGAAGCAACGCGAAGAACCUUACCAGGUCUUGACAUCCUCUGACAACCCUAGAGAUAGGGCUUUCCCUUCGGGGACAGAGUGACAGGUGGUGCAUGGUUGUCGUCAGCUCGUGUCGUGAGAUGUUGGGUUAAGUCCCGCAACGAGCGCAACCCUUGAUCUUAGUUGCCAGCAUUCAGUUGGGCACUCUAAGGUGACUGCCGGUGACAAACCGGAGGAAGGUGGGGAUGACGUCAAAUCAUCAUGCCCCUUAUGACCUGGGCUACACACGUGCUACAAUGGACAGAACAAAGGGCUGCAAGACCGCAAGGUUUAGCCAAUCCCAUAAAUCUGUUCUCAGUUCGGAUCGCAGUCUGCAACUCGACUGCGUGAAGCUGGAAUCGCUAGUAAUCGCGGAUCAGCAUGCCGCGGUGAAUACGUUCCCGGGCCUUGUACACACCGCCCGUCACACCACGAGAGUUUGCAACACCCGAAGUCGGUGAGGUAA